rnacentral:tRNA from 1 species
GAAAUAAUAAUUUUAAAUUGUAAAUUUAAAUAUAAAAAUAUUUCAUUUAA